AACACUCUGGUUUUGAAUAAGCAGUACCCACAUCAAACCCGCUAAGGUGUGGGUGAUUAGGGUGCUGAAAAGUCAGAUUAGCCCAGCAGUGAGGAGGUAAAGGACACUGGAAGGGGGAUGGGAGGCUCAGGUGAUGCUUGUGAUCACCUGGGGAGGAUUCAGAGCCUGCUGGGGCUCAUAAGGGUGAACACAGGAGCUGUGCUGGUUCUUUGCAGCUAGAGAGGAAGAACUUCUUCACCCAGGGCUUGAAGGCAGUAGGAACUUAUGAAGAGUUUCUUGAAGAGUCUUGGCUGUCCUGACCAUAUUAGCGGUUCAGUGCCUCCAAGAAUUAACCUGAGAUCUCUGCAAAGAAGAGGCAACAAUGACAGGUCAAAGGAAAGGCCAAAAAUACACAGGUUUGCAGAUCAGAACAAAGUGCCAGGUGGGCCAAGGGAUUGGUGUCAAAAUCAGAAGCCUGAAUCUGGUCUGUGAACUUCGGAGCAUCUCAAGCUGAAGGAUACAGUACUCUCAAGUGAAACGAGAAAGUAAGUGUUUAAUUGCUCCUGGACACUGCCAGCUUCUGUUCAUGGACAGAUUAAUUCACUGGGUUUGCACAUGGAGAGCAGAGUGCUGUAGGCUUGCUGAACCACCCCAUGUUCUCUGCAAAAGUGGCAAAUGGGAAGUCUCAUUAGUAGCUUAUAUAUUUGACAUCAAAUUUUAACAAGGUCUGCAAGUACUUCACUAGGCCUAUCAUUUGAAGAUUUUUCUGAUUUUUUUUCCAUCCAUUUUUUCUUCUUUUCCUUCUUUAUCUUAAUUUGAACCUUAAACUUGCUUGCUGUUAUGAUUCCAAAGUUUCAGUAAGGGAAGUAGGCGAGGUGCUUCCAAUCCUCAUUGCAAAUCAAGCUUAAAUAAGAAGAAAUGAGAAGUAAUGGUAUAUUCCCAAUUAAGACACUUCACUCAAUAUCUAACAGAACUAUUGUUCUAGAUUACUCAUUAAAUUAACAACGCUGAACUUUUGAGAUGUUGAUUAGCUUAAAAGAGUCUCCAGUUUCUUAAAACUUCUUUUUCUCUGCUGUGGCUACGCUGCUGCAUUUACUCACCGUGAAUUAAACAACCCUUCCUACAGGUGAUCUGCACUGAGGCUUGGCCAUUUUCCUUGUUGAAUAGUACCUUAAUACAAAUGGGGUCUCAUUGGAGUGAAAGAAAUCCCAGGGAGGAAAGCAGAGGAGCCUCUCCUUAGCUUGCUUUUAUUUCAAUUCUUGAUGUGCAGUUUGCAGGGUGCGUUCUGUGUUGUCUGAGGCUCUCUAUUACAAGCUUUUCAUGUCAGGGACAGUUAUUGCAUUGAGUGCCCUACAUGGGAGACUCGAUGGAAGCUUGUUGUUUGAACUUCUCAUACUCCAGACUUUGGUUAUAGGGACUGGAAUUCCUUGUGAGAAAGUCAUGGAGCUGUGUGAAAGUAGGGGAAAACUGGUUUUAUUUUGUGUAGAGUAAAAGAUAAAUAUGGAAGAUUGGAAGAAUGAAGCUCAUAAAAGUUUCACAUAGUCAAUGAAAAGUGUGGUUUCCUGGGGAAUAUUGCAGGAUAAAUUUGAGAUACUUAAGGCCUGCUCCUCACUAACUACAUCACAAAUAGAUCUUCCUUUUUCCGUUUAAAGCCUAUCCCUACAAUCCUCUGACAACUUGCAUUACAUUCAGCAAGGCCAUGUAGUAUUACAUCAUGUCAUGUCUUUUUUUUUCUUCACUGCCUGGUACUAACAGGAGGUGACAUUACACGAGUGAGCUAAUGUAGCUAAAGUAGUUGUGAUGGUGUGGGCUAUCAGCUGAACUGAAGUCAAGAGGAUGAAAAGACUAAAAGAAAAAAGUAUUUUCUCUGGAAAGUGCACUAAGUUUACAAACAUGCACAAGACUCCAGGUUCAAAGUAGAUGUUGCUGAAUUAUUGGCUGAGAUUUCUAUUUUUUUUUUUUUUUUGGGGGGGGGGGUAAUUUAAUGCAAAUUAUUUCUGGCUUUUCAGGAUUUAUUAUCUGGAAGUAUUUUACAACAGCUUAUAGAGUGUUCUUUGUAUUCGAUUUACUUUUUUUUUUUUUGUGGCAGUUAGUCACUGAAGGCAUAUGUUAUCAUUUCUGAACCUUGGUAAGCUAAAAAUGAACAAUAAAUAAACAUGGGAUUCAGGGAUGUUUUUUGUU
rnacentral:lncRNA from 1 species